UACGUAGGGUCCGAGCGUUGUCCGGAAUUACUGGGCGUAAAGAGCUCGUAGGUGGUUUGUCGCGUUGUUCGUGAAAACUCACAGCUCAACUGUGGGCGUGCGGGCGAUACGGGCAGACUUGAGUACUGCAGGGGAGACUGGAAUUCCUGGUGUAGCGGUGAAAUGCGCAGAUAUCAGGAGGAACACCAGCGGCGAAGGCGGUGCUCUGGGCCGGAACUGACGCUGAGGAGCGAAAGCGUGGGGAGCGAACAGG
rnacentral:rRNA from 1 species